AAUCUCUAAUUUUUAUUCAUUCUGAUUUCCAUGAGUUUACAAUUUACAAUGCUAGGGUUUCUCUGUUGUUUGUUUGGAAUCUUCCAAGGUCGAAUCGAACUCCCCAUGGCUGAGACUUCAAGAUCUCGAGUGAUUGUUUCUUGGGGUCGGGUGCGUUAUUAGUCGAUCGCCUUUGUUUAUCUGAAAUUAGGGCUUUGUAUGUACGCUACAGCUUAUUGAGUCCUUUCUGUUCUGCAAUUUUUUCUUCUAGGGUGAAUGCGACUGUGGGAUUUGGUAGAUUGCUUUGAUGCUGGGGGCUGUACUGAAGUGCGUAUUUUGUAAAUAGGCUGUAGUCCAGUUCGGUUUACCCAACCAAUGAAUCAGUUCCGUGAUAACUUAACAGUUCAAUUUCAUUUCUCGGACUAACCUCAGACCUUUUGUUUUCUGGGGGAUAAGCAAUCAAUCUCGGAUGAACCUUGAUCAAGAUUAAGUUGUUUUGAAAAUCAAGGAGAUUCAAAUGGUGUUUUUGAACUCUAGUGGAGGUCAAAUAGCUUGGUUUGUUGUACUACCUCCGCGUAGACUGCCAAUUUACUUUUUAAGACAUUAAUUUGCUGGCGGUGAAGAGGGAAGGGAAAUAUUUAGAUAAUGGUUGUUCGGACACUGGGGCGGUGUUUGGCAUUAAACGAACAGUGAGAGAUGGAUUAGGAAGUGUCGCAGAUGGUGAGUUUGUCUCACCUUGUUGUUUGCUGAGCUACCUUACAGUUGGAAGUGGGGUUUACUCUUAAUUGCAUCUUUUAUGUAUGCUGACACUAGCUGAUGAAAAAAUUUAGCAGUGUAUAACUAUUAUGUGCACAUGGAAAUCUAAAAUUCAUGUAACUGACCUCACAUAGUAGAUAAAGGCUGGACAUGUUGUUGUAUAACUAUUAUAUACACAAAAAUGCAGUAUGCUGUUAGGGUGCAAAGAAUGGCAUUGACAUACUCUGUGCUAUGAGAUAUGGAAAAUAAUGAUUGCCAUGUCUUCUAUGAUUUAUUGCAGUGGUAGGAGAUUUAUUAUCUAAGGUCGAGUAACAUGGUUUUGAUUUUACCAUUUUGCAGGUAAAGGGUUGAUAGAAAGUAUAAAUGGUGUGAAUGUUUUGAGAGGCCGAAAACCUUACUCAAAACUUUUGUGAUAAAAUUACAUUUUUGAAUCCUGAGUUAAGUUCCAUAUUGUUAAUCUUGGUUUCUUUUCAACUGUUGAAGUGUCUUGUCAAAGAUGACCUUAGACUCAAUCUCAUUAAAAAAAAUUGCUUAGGUGAGUGGAUAGGUGAUAUCCAGCAGAAUGGGAUGAUCCUACAUGAAAUGCCUUUUUUUUUUGUUGUUGUUGAAAGAAACCUAUUUGAAAUGCUGCCUAGAGCUAUUCUGCAUUCCACAACUAUUCAAAGUAUGCUGCACUGCAUGCCUGAGCCAGCAGAAGGCAGAAACUUGACAUUUUGUGCCCAAACAGAAGGAUGAAAGUAUAUUGAAUCAAAUUCUUUCCAAGAUAAUUGCAGAUAACGUGAGGAUUCUCUUGCUGCACAGGAGCAACAAAAAAUAUUGAGAAGGCCAUUAACAAGGACUAAUGAUGAUGCCAGAGCAGUUUCAUAAAUAAGUAGUGAUAUUCUUGAGCCUGGAAGGCUCUUGGGCACUGCACCUUAAUAUAAGAAAACCAACAAUUGUUGCUGUAACAAUGAAGUCUGUAAUAUUACCGCUAGCCUCACCUCCUAUGCCAUCUGGCAUUGUGCAGAAAAGUUCAUACACGGUGGGCAUUAUGCUUUCCCUGUUGCCGUAUUCCAAGCGACCAUCAUGAUGAAAAGAAAUACUCCAAACAUCGCAAUAGACAUUGAACAUGGCGCUGUCACUGCAUGGAAAAUCUGAAUCCAAAAUAUUCUCAAUCAACUUGACUUCCUGGUUUCUUUCCAAGUUGGAGCUAAGCAACAGCCUGUGGAUCUGUAGCUAUGCUCAACAAUAUUCAGUAUUACUGUAAUAUUUUUUAUACAGUAAAUGGUAAAAAUUUCUGCAUUGUUACACAUCUUUCUGUUCUGUACAAAUAUGGCACUUGGAGGUGUUAUUUAUCUUCUGUGAACAAAAUUGAGAUUGAAUCAUGUAGGCAAUCUUG